rnacentral:misc_RNA from 1 species
GCCCAGACAUAAAUUCGUUGUUUCACAUCAAUAUGGCACCAGUGAUAUAGCUUUAAUUACAUUUCCUCUCUAUUUGAAUAAAUGAUAAUCAUUAAUCAUAAUGAUCUAAUUGGGGACACCCAUCCAAGCUGGAAAUCCCCAUACAUGUAACAAAGAAUCACAAGCAGUUUUUUGUUUCUUUUUUUCCUUUUCCUCCACCCUUUUUGGAGUGUCAAAUUUCCAUAAACUAUACCUAUGCCUAAGCACAUCAAAAGGCU